rnacentral:rRNA from 1 species
UACGUAGGGUCCUAGCGUUGUCCGGAUUUAUUGGGCGUAAAGAGCUCGUAGGCGGUUCGGCAAGUCGGAUGUGAAAUCUCCACGCUUAACGUGGAGGGGCCAAUUCGAAACUGCCGUGACUCGAGUCCGGUAGGGGAGUGUGGAAUUCCCGGUCGUAGCGGUGAAAUGCGCAGAUAUCGGGAGGAACACCAGUAGCGAAGGCGGCACUCUGGGCCGGUACUGGACGCUGAGGAGCGAAAAGCGUGGGGGAGCAAACAGG